ensembl:snRNA U6 U6 spliceosomal RNA
GUGCUUGCUUUGACAGCACAUUGUAAUAAAAUUAGAAAGCUAUGAAGAGGAGUAGCAUGGCACCUGUACAAAGAUGACACACAGAUUUGUGAAGUGUUCCGUAUUUUU